AGAGUUUUAUCCUGGCUCAGGACGAACGCUGGCGGCAUGCCUAACACAUGCAAGUCGAACGGAGUUCACUUUUUAGAUCCCUUCGGGGUGACGAAAUUUGAACUUAGUGGCGGACGGGUGAGUAACGCGUGGGUAACCUGCCCUUUUGUGGGGAACAACUUCGAGAAAUUGAAGCUAAUACCGCAUAGUCUAUAUUUAUCGCAUGAUGAAUAUAGGAAAGAUGGCCUCUGAAUAUGCUAUCGCAAAAGGAUGGACCCGCGUCUGAUUAGCUAGUUGGAAGGGUAACGGCCUACCAAGGCAACGAUCAGUAGCCGGCCUGAGAGGGUGAACGGCCACAUUGGGACUGAGACACGGCCCAAACUCCUACGGGAGGCAGCAGUGGGGAAUCUUCCGCAAUGGGCGAAAGCCUGACGGAGCAAUGCCGCGUGAGUGAAGAAGGCCUUCGGGUUGUAAAACUCUGUCCUUAUUGAAGAGAGGUAUAAGUGUGAAUAAUGCUUAUAUAGGACGGUAAAUAAGGAGGAAGCCCCGGCUAACUACGUGCCAGCAGCCGCGGUAAUACGUAGGGGGCAAGCGUUGUCCGGAAUCACUGGGCGUAAAGGGCGCGUAGGCGGUUUAAUAAGUCAGUGGUGAAAACUAUGGGCUCAACCCAUAGCCUGCCACUGAUACUGUUAAACUUGAGUAUGGAAGAGGAGAAUGGAAUUCCUAGUGUAGCGGUGAAAUGCGUAGAGAUUCGGAGGAACACCAGUGGCGAAGGCGGCUUACUGGGCUCUAACUGACGCUGAGGCUCGAAAGUGUGGGGAGCAAACAGGAUUAGAUACCCUGGUAGUCCACACUGUAAACGAUGAUUGCUAGGUGUGGGGGGUCUGACCCCUUCCGUGCCGCAGUUAACGCAAUAAGCAAUCCACCUGGGGAGUACGACCGCAAGGUUGAAACUCAAAGGAAUUGACGGGGGCCCGCACAAGCGGUGGAGCAUGUGGUUUAAUUCGAAGCAACGCGAAGAACCUUACCAGAUCUUGACAUCCUCUGAAAACCCUAGAGAUAGGGCGUUCCCCUUCGGGGGACAGAGUGACAGGUGGUGCAUGGUUGUCGUCAGCUCGUGUCGUGAGAUGUUGGGUUAAGUCCCGCAACGAGCGCAACCCUUGAUCUUAGUUGCCAGCAUUCAGUUGGGCACUCUAAGGUGACUGCCGGUGACAAACCGGAGGAAGGUGGGGAUGACGUCAAAUCAUCAUGCCCCUUAUGACCUGGGCUACACACGUGCUACAAUGGGUGGUACAAAGGGCUGCAAAACCGCGAGGUCGAGCAAAUCCCAUAAAACCACUCUCAGUUCGGAUUGCAGGCUGCAACUCGCCUGCAUGAAGCUGGAAUCGCUAGUAAUCGCGGAUCAGCAUGCCGCGGUGAAUACGUACCCGGGCCUUGCACUCACCGCCCGUCA
rnacentral:rRNA from 1 species